AGUGCCCCAACCUGGACGUUCCAGAAGAGGCCAGGGAGGAUCUGAGAUGGCCUUCUUCAACUUGUAUCUAUUGGGAUAUCAAAAUUCCUUUCAGAACAAGAAAAGGAACACAACUGAAGAAACAAACCAGAAGGAACCAGAGCCUACUAGGCUUCCCCCCAUUAUCUCAAAAGAUGGGAAUUAUUCCGUGCACCAGAAUAGCCACACAAGAUACCACGAAGCUGUCCGGAAGGUGUUGUUGAAGACGUUUCCCAAUCAGGUCUUCAGAAUCCCCUUGACUGAUGCUCAGAACUUCAGCUUCUGGUGGUCCCAUGAUCCAGGAGUGCGUCCAGAGGAAACCAUGCCAUGGAUCCGGAGCCCACGCCAUUGUCUCAUAAAAAGCGCGAUGACCAGGUUUAUGGAUCACUCUAUUCUCAAUGACAGGACCUUCAGUCUGUAUUAAGAAGAUAUGGCUGCAGAAAGACAAGAUGAAUUGUGGCAAGAGUGCAGAGGGGGAAAGAAGGAGGUUUCCCAGUUCCGAUGGCUGACUAAUGGGAGGAGGAGAUGGAGAAAGCACAUAGAAAAGGGGUUUCACUAUGUUGGUCAGGCUGGUCUUGAACUCCCGACCUCAUGAUCUGCCCACCUCGGCUUCCCAAAGUGCUGGGAUUACAGGCAUGAUCCACCGCGCCCGGCAUGGCUUCAUCCUUUCAACACCUCUAAAAGACUUGAUAUAGGAGGUCAGAGGGAAGAAAACCCCACAGGAGCCCUGAUGGGAAAUCUGUGAUCCCAUCCCCAGCCUAUAAUCCCAGCUUCACCUGGAAAAAGUCCUGGGAAAACCCGCCAAGCAACAAAGCCCUCUUACCAAUCUUCAUCUGGAAAUUGUUGAAGGAGUGCUCAUUGAUGUGCUUCAUCUGCUCCAUGAGCCGCAUGGCGUAGUCAGCCAGGGCAGUGAUGUGGGAGCGGCCCACCUGAUCGUAGGUGCUGGCGUUCAGCCCUGAGGCAGCCAUGUAGGUGCUACCAAUCGUCUUGAUCUUUUCCAGCUGCCGGAACCGCUCCUCGCUGAUAAUCUGAACAACACAAGGAGACCUGGCUGUCAAGGCAAAGACCCCAGACCCAGCCCUGCCCCAACACUCAUUUCUUGCCACGCCUUGGCUGCCUUCCCCACUUCCCUGUCUCAAGAGCCCCCUUCCAGCUGCUGCUAUCAGUGUAAGACUGAGGAGCUGGGAAAACAGGCAGCCUAGGACUCCAGGCAGGACUUGGGCAUACAGCUUCAGAAGGUCCCUCCAGUAGCUCACUCACAGAACACAGACCCACAAGUGCAAUAUUAAGCAAUUUCUCCAAUCCUUACCUUUUGGGAUACUGAGUCCCAGAGUGAGCAAGUGACUUCCCUCCAGAACAGUGAACAGCCCAUUCCUGAUCUGGAUGUUCAGGACACUACCUCACAUUUUGCUUCAAUUUUCUCUAUUCAGAGGACCAUCUUGCUUGGUUGGUCUCAUGAGGUUCUGUCCACAGACUAUUGCCUUCUUCUUCAGUGACAUCCACCUGGUACCUAUCCU